UACGAACUGUGCAACCGUUAUUCGGAAUCACUGGGCUUACAGGGUGCGUAGGCGGCUUGUCAAGUAGGGUGUGAAAGCCCCCGGCUCAACCGGGGAAUUGCGCCCUAAACUGGCGAGCUGGAGUGAGAUAGGGGUGUGUGGAACUUCCGGUGGAGCGGUGAAAUGUGUUGAUAUCGGAAGGAACGCCGGUGGCGAAAGCGACACACUGGAUCUUGUCUGACGCUGAGGCACGAAAGCCAGGGGAGCGAACGGG
rnacentral:rRNA from 1 species